rnacentral:rRNA from 1 species
AACGAACGCUGGCGGCAGGCUUAACACAUGCAAGUCGAGCGCCCCGCAAGGGGAGCGGCAGACGGGUGAGUAACGCGUGGGAACGUGCCUUCUUCUACGGAAUAGCCCAGGGAAACUUGGAUUAAUGCCGUAUACGCCCUUCGGGGGAAAGAUUUAUCGGAGGAGGAUCGGCCCGCGUUGGAUUAGGUAGUUGGUGGGGUAAUGGCCUACCAAGCCGACGAUCCAUAGCUGGUUUGAGAGGAGGAUCAGCAACACUGGGACUGAGACACGGCCCCGACUCCUGCGGGAGGCCGCAGUGGGGAAUCUUGGACAAUGGGGGCAACCCUGAUCCAGCCAUGCCGCGUGAUCGAUGAAGGCCUUAGGGUUGUAAAGAUCUUUCAGCUGGGAAGAUAAUGACGGUACCAGCAGAAGAAGCCCCGGCUAACUCCGUGCCAGCCGCCGCCGUAAGAC